rnacentral:lncRNA from 1 species
AACAGUCCACAGCUUGCAACCCCCUAUUCAAAAAGCAAUAUAACAACAUCAACCAAAUCCAUGACAUAUUCGAAAAUAUACAAGGAAAACAAAAAUGAAAUCGGUUACAAUAGAAUAAAAAAUGAAACUUACCAACGAAAGUGUAAAUAUUUCCAAUAUUUUUGUUUAGGGUUUUCACUGGAAUUGGAGAUAAACAUCCUCAUUGUUUUUAUUGCAACCGCAUUUUGGGAUUUGGUAGGUGGUGGUGUGAGCAACAGAUGACGAAGACAUGUUUGAAUAGGUUGCAGAGAAUGGGGUUGGAGGUUGAAGGUGAGUGGUUGUUAUGAAAGAUGAUAAAAAUUGGGAAUUUA